rnacentral:rRNA from 1 species
CCCAGACUCCUACGGGAGGCAGCAGUGGGGGAUAUUGCACAAUGGAGGAAACUCUGAUGCAGCGACGCCGCGUGAGGGAAGACGGUCUUCGGAUUGUAAACCUCUGUCUUUGGGGAAGAAAAUGACGGUACCCAAAGAGGAAGCUCCGGCUAACUACGUGCCAGCAGCCGCGGUAAUACGUAGGGAGCGAGCGUUGUCCGGAAUUACUGGGUGUAAAGGGAGCGUAGGCGGGACUGCAAGUUGGGUGUCAAAUCUACCGGCUCAACCGGUAGCCGCACUCAAAACUGCAGUUCUUGAGUGAAGUAGAGGCAGGCGGAAUUCCUAGUGUAGCGGUGAAAUGCGUAGAUAUUAGGAGGAACACCAGUGGCGAAGGCGGCCUGCUGGGCUUUUACUGACGCUGAGGCUCGAAAGUGUGGGGAGCAAACAGGAUUAGAUACCCUAGUA